GAUGAACGCUGGCGGCGUGCCUAAUACAUGCAGGUCGAGCGAAUGGAUUAAGAGCUUGCUCUUAUGAAGUUAGCGGCGGACGGGUGAGUAACACGUGGGUAACCUGCCCAUAAGACUGGGAUAACUCCGGGAGACCGGGGCUAAUACCGGAUAACAUUUUGAACCGCAUGGUUCGAAAUUGAAAGGCGGCUUCGGCUGUCACUUAUGGAUGGACCCGCGUCGCAUUAGCUAGUUGGUGAGGUAACGGCUCACCAAGGCAACGAUGCGUAGCCGACCUGAGAGGGUGAUCGGCCACACUGGGACUGAGACACGGCCCAGACUCCUACGGGAGGCAGAAGUAGGGAAUCUUCCGCAAUGGACGAAAGUCUGACGGAGCAACGCCGCGUGAGUGAUGAAGGCUUUCGGGUCGUAAAACUCUGUUGUUAGGGAAGAACAAGUGCUAGUUGAAUAAGCUGACACCUUGACGGUACCUAACCAGAAAGCCACGGCUAACUACGUGCCAGCCGCCGCCGUAA
rnacentral:rRNA from 1 species